rnacentral:tmRNA from 1 species
GGGGAUGACAGGAUUCGAUAGACGGAUCCGUUGUCUAUAUGUGCAUACCGAGCCCGCCUCUACUCGUUAAACUAGGCACCCAUUACGUGCAAACGUAUUAAGUCGAGCUAAGAACGCCCUUGCUAACGCAUUCAGCGUUCGUGGGCUCGCAUCUGCCAUUGCUUAAAUGCAAUAGCCAUCAGUCUCUCGAUACUCGAUAGAGAAUCACUGGUGUCAACUUGUCNNNNNNNNNNNNNNNNNNNNCGCCUGUGGGUCCCUUCUGAACUCAUAAUUUCAGGCAACCGACAUGUCUUUUUGCCAUUCUUUUUGAGACAUGUCGCAGAUUAAGAAUGGCUAUGUAUGUAGUACAUGUAUAGGUAACCCGCUCUAGACCCGAGUUCAAUUCUCGGCAUCUCCACCG